UGGAGGCAGCAGUGGGGAAUAUUGGACAAUGGGGGCAACCCUGAUCCAGCAAUGCCGCGUGAGUGAUGAAGGCCUUAGGGUUGUAAAGCUCUUUUACCCGAGAUGAUAAUGACAGUAUCGGGAGAAUAAGCUCCGGCUAACUCCGUGCCAGCAGCCGCGGUAAUACGGAGGGAGCUAGCGUUGUUCGGAAUUACUGGGCGUAAAGCGCACGUAGGCGGCGAUUUAAGUCAGAGGUGAAAGCCCGGGGCUCAACCCCGGAACUGCCUUUGAGACUGGAUUGCUAGAAUCUUGGAGAGGCGAGUGGAAUUCCGAGUGUAGAGGUGAAAUUCGUAGAUAUUCGGAAGAACACCAGUGGCGAAGGCGGCUCGCUGGACAAGUAUUGACGCUGAGGUGCGAAAGCGUGGGGAGCAAACAGGCUUAGAUACCCUGGUAGC
rnacentral:rRNA from 1 species